rnacentral:rRNA from 1 species
AAAUGCGUCCAUACCACCCUGAUCACAUGGGGUCUCAUCUCAUCCCAGAUGCUAAGCAGAGUUGGUCUUGAUUAGCACUUGGAUGGGAGAGUUUAUGUCAUUUUGUUGUUGUAUUUA